GAUGAACGCUGGCGGCGUGCUUAACACAUGCAAGUCGAACGAAGCACUUUAUUUGAUUUCCUUCGGGACUGAUUAUUUUGUGACUGAGUGGCGGACGGGUGAGUAACGCGUGGGUAACCUGCCUUGUACAGGGGGAUAACAGUUGGAAACGGCUGCUAAUACCGCAUAAGCGCACAGCAUCGCAUGAUGCAGUGUGAAAAACUCCGGUGGUAUAAGAUGGACCCGCGUUGGAUUAGCUAGUUGGUGAGGUAACGGCCCACCAAGGCGACGAUCCAUAGCCGACCGGGGAGGGGGACCGGCCAAAUGGGGACGGAGCCACGGCCAAAACCCCUACGGGGGGCAGCAGGGGGGAAUAUUGCAAAAUGGGCGAAAGCCUGAGGCAGGGACCCCGGGGGAGGGAAAAAGUUUUGCGGUAUGAAAAGCCCUUUAAGAAGGAAAAAAAAGGGCGGCACUGGACAAAGAAGCCCCGGCAAAAUACG
rnacentral:rRNA from 1 species